GACGAACGCUGGCGGCGUGCCUAAUACAUGCAAGUAGAACGCACAGUUUAUACCGUAGCUUGCUACACCAUAAACUGUGAGUUGCGAACGGGUGAGUAACGCGUAGGUAACCUGCCUGGUAGCGGGGGAUAACUAUUGGAAACGAUAGCUAAUACCGCAUAAUAUUGAUUAUUGCAUGAUAAUUGAUUGAAAGAUGCUAUUGCAUCACUACCAGAUGGACCUGCGUUGUAUUAGCUAGUAGGUGAGGUAACGGCGAACCUAGGCGACGAUACAUAGCCGACCUGAGAGGGUGCUCGGCCACACUGGGACUGGGACACGGCCCAGACUCCUACGAGAGGCAGCAGUAGGGAAUCUUCGGCAAUGGACGAAAGUCUGACCGAGCAACGCCGCGUGAGUGCAGAAGGUUUUCGGAUCGUAAAGCUCUGUUGUAAGAGAAGAACGGGUGUGAGAGUGGAAAGUGCACACUGUGACGGUAUCUUACCAGAAAGGGACGGCUAACUACGUG
rnacentral:rRNA from 1 species